rnacentral:lncRNA from 1 species
AAAACAUUUCAACUUACAAUUUCCAUUUCGAUCUUUUUGCUUUGCUUUUUGCUUUCAUCAAUCAAUCAUUCAUUCAUUCACUCGCCUUCCCAAUCACAGCAAAAGCUAACUUCUGUAGCCCCCAAGCAAUUCCAGGUACAUUCUUUACAUUUUUCGUUUCUUCUUCUUGUUCUUUUUGUUGUUUUGUUUAAUAAUUACAAGUAUUUAUUUUUUAGGGUUUCUAGAAUUGAUCAUGUGAAGGUGAAAAGUGAUGAUGAUCAAGUAUCAACUUACAUUACGGUGUACAGGAUCACUAUGGAUUUUGAAAGAAUAAUGACCUAUUUUAUAUAAUAUAAAUGUUACCACAGUUUCUGCUUUCUAUUUUCAAAAAUUAUAGAACAUUCUGUUUAGCUGUUUCUAAAAAACUUAUUUCUUGCGGUGAG